rnacentral:rRNA from 1 species
ACGGGUGAGUAAUACAUCGGAACGUAUCCUGGAGUGGGGGAUAGCCCGGCGAAAGCCGGAUUAAUACCGCAUACGCUCUGAGGAGGAAAGCGGGGGACCUUCGGGCCUCGCGCUCAAGGGGCGGCCGAUGGCGGAUUAGGUAGUUGGUGGGGUAAAGGCCUACCAAGCCGACGAUCCGUAGCUGGUCUGAGAGGACGACCAGCCACACUGGGACUGAGACACGGCCCAGACUCCUACGGGAGGCAGCAGUGGGGAAUUUUGGACAAUGGGGGCAACCCUGAUCCAGCAAUGCCGCGUGUGUGAAGAAGGCCUUCGGGUUGUAAAGCACUUUUGUCCGGAAAGAAAUCAUCGGGGCCAAUACCCCUGGUGGAUGGCGGUACCGGAAGAAUAAGCACCGGCUAACUACGUGCCAGCAGCCGCGGUAAUACGUAGGGUGCGAGCGUUAAUCGGAAUUACUGGGCGUAAAGCGUGCGCAGGCGGUGCUGUAAGACCGAUGUGAAAUCCCCGGGCUUAACCUGGGAACUGCAUUGGUGACUGCAGCGCUGGAGUAUGGCAGAGGGGGGUGGAAUUCCACGU